rnacentral:rRNA from 1 species
UGCAGUCGACGAACUCUGGUAUUGAUUGGUGCUUGCAUCAUGAUUUACAUUUGAGUGAGUGGCGAACUGGUGAGUAACACGUGGGAAACCUGCCCAGAAGCGGGGGAUAACACCUGGAAACAGAUGCUAAUACCGCAUAACAACUUGGACCGCAUGGUCCGAGUUUGAAAGAUGGCUUCGGCUAUCACUUUUGGAUGGUCCCGCGGCGUAUUAGCUAGAUGGUGGGGUAACGGCUCACCAUGGCAAUGAUACGUAGCCGACCUGAGAGGGUAAUCGGCCACAUUGGGACUGAGACACGGCCCAAACUCCUACGGGAGGCAGCAGUAGGGAAUCUUCCACAAUGGACGAAAGUCUGAUGGAGCAACGCCGCGUGAGUGAAGAAGGGUUUCGGCUCGUAAAACUCUGUUGUUAAAGAAGAACAUAUCUGAGAGUAACUGUUCAGGUAUUGACGGUAUUUAACCAGAAAGCCACGGCUAACUACGUGCCAGCAGCCGCGGUAAUACGUAGGUGGCAAGCGUUGUCCGGAUUUAUUGGGCGUAAAGCGAGCGCAGGCGGUUUUUUAAGUCUGAUGUGAAAGCCUUCGGCUCAACCGAAGAAGUGCAUCGGAAACUGGGAAACUUGAGUGCAGAAGAGGACAGUGGAACUCCAUGUGUAGCGGUGAAAUGCGUAGAUAUAUGGAAGAACACCAGUGGCGAAGGCGGCUGUCUGGUCUGUAACUGACGCUGAGGCUCGAAAGUAUGGGUAGCAAACAGGAUUAGAUACCCUGGUAGUCCAUACCGUAAACGAUGAAUGCUAAGUGUUGGAGGGUUUCCGCCCUUCAGUGCUGCAGCUA